rfam:Myotis brandtii contig311526, whole genome shotgun sequence.
GGCAGUUCUUGGGUGACACACUCCAGAAUCGGGCUCUCUCCUCUCUGGUUCCGGGUGCUUCACCCGAGAACCACA